rnacentral:lncRNA from 1 species
GUGAACAAGUAACUGUCAACGGUAUAAGUUAAGACUAGCAGAAGGUGGGGAUGUAAGAAGGAGGGAGGAGGCCAGGGGCCUCUGGAAGGUUCCCAGAGGAGGUGUGUACUUUGCUGGUUCACAUACCCCAAGCUCUGCUGCUCACAGUGUUCUAGCCCAGACUCCUUCGCCAGUUCACAGCUGUCGGAAUGUGGCCAGCCUCACUCCUGCUUCCCCCAAAAUAGGAUCCUUGCUGUAGGAUCUACCUUGCUAGAAAAGGGUGUAGUCCAGCCCCUUCCUGUGAGAACACCAGAGGCUUGGUGCAAGAACUUCUUCAUACACGUUUCCACAACAGGACUCGGCCUUGCCAACUUGAUGCCACGUUUUGUGCCUGAAAGCUGACUAUUUCCAGAACUGUAUCACAGGAGCCUAGUGGGGCCACCGCAAGGCCUGAAAAGGGUGUGACGCAACCUGGGUCCCCGGAUGAGUACACAGCAGUCCUCACCCUCUCUACUUCCCUCAGCCUGGCCAAGCUGUAUGGGAUUUGUGUGCUGUUUAUAGAACUGCCCUUUUAUUCUUGAAGCUGAAAGCUUUACUGGGUGUUAAAUUCCAGCUUCAGACUGCUGUUUGUGCUCCUGGAUGAAGAAAAAAAAAAAAAAGAGAUGGGCUUUAAAGCUUUCAAA